GAGCAUUCACAUACCGGAAUGAGGGAUGACGAUCGGUCAAAUCUUUCAAAAUGUGCGCAGGACGAAGGUUAGUCCUUUGCCCGGUCGGAGGAAGAUGGAGAAUGUGUGAAUCGAUGAGACGUUCAGGGACCACUUCGCUUUUCCUGAUCCACGACGCGAUGAAGUAGUGGCAUCAAGUCGAAAUUCACAUCGAAAAAUUGAGUCCACGUGUUGCCGAGGCUUAUCGAGUGGACACCAUUGCUGUAGUUGCAAAAACAAACAAAACGGAACCAGAAAGAUGCCGGGAAAGAAAGACAAAAACUGGAUUUCCUGGCAAAAAAUGGGAGUUUUUGACAGGAAGAAACCAGAGGUUGCGAAGCAAGGUUGAUUGUGGGAACAAAGGCACUCGCUCUCUGGUAACCGAGCAACGCAGGAAGUGAUCGCUGAUCAGAGGUAGUGA